GACGAACGCUGGCGGCGUGCCUAAUACAUGCAAGUAGGACGCAGUUGCGAACGGGAGAGUAACGCAUAGGUCACUACCUAGUAGAGGGGGAUAACUAUUGGAAACGAUAGCUAAUACCGCAUACUAGUAGAUGGACCUGCGUUGUAUUAGCUAGUAGGUAGGGUAAUGGCCUACCUAGGCAACGAUACAUGGCCGGCCUGGGGGGGUGGACGGCCACCACGGGACUGGGGCCCGGGCCAGACUCCUAAGGGAGGCAACAGUAGGGAAUCUUCGGCAAUUGGGGGAAACCCUACCGCGCACCUGCGCGGGAGUGAAGAAGGUUUUCGGAUCGUAAAGGUCUGUUGUUAAGGGAGCGGUACUUAACCAGAAAGGGACGGCUAACUACGUGCCAGCAGCCGCGGUAAUUC
rnacentral:rRNA from 1 species